UGGGAAAGUGGAAUAAAUUAGGAUGAAAUCAAGUGGGGAUGUGGGAUAAAAGGUUAAAUAGUGGGGAGGUGGAAAAUAGGAGUAAACAACAAAGUACACGGAUGCCCCAUCCGCACUAUCGUUUUCUAUGUUCAGUGGACCGUGAAAAUGGGGGAAAAUGUCUAAUUUGGCAUUAAAAUUAGAAACAUCAUAUCAAUGGGAACGUGUACUAAAUUUCAAG
rnacentral:lncRNA from 1 species